UAGUUAAAUUUGGCUAGUUAGAAAAAUUAGCUCUAAAUUCUUUAUAAAAAAUAUAAAUAACAUUUAAUGUUAGAAGAUUAAGUUUAUUUAAUAAAAAAUAUUAUUGAUAUUUAGAGAAAUCUCUAGUUAAUUUUGUGCCAGCAACAGCGGUUAUACAAAAAGAGAUCUUUUUAAGUUAAAAACUUAUUUUUAAUUUUAAUUUAAAAUUAGUUUAAAAAAUUAAGGUGAAAUUUAAUUUAUUAUAAAAAUAAUAAAUAAAGUAGAAAUUCAUUAAAUAAACUAGGAUUAGAUACCCUAUUAUUAAGAGUUAUAUAUUGCAAGUAUAUAAAUAUUAUGAAAACAAAAAAUUGUGGCGGUAUUUUAAGCUUUUCAGAGGAAUUUGCUCUAUAAUGGAUAAAACACCAAUAUCUUACUAAAAUUAGUUAAACAGUUUGUAUACCACUAUUUAAGUAAUAAUUUGUAGUUAUUACUAAAAUUUAAAAAAUAAAAAAAGUUAAGUCAAGGUGCAGCAAAAAUUUUAGAAUGAAGUGAAUUACAUUUCUUUAAAGAAAUUGUAAAUGAAAUAUAAAAUUUAGGAUUUGAAAGUAAAAUUUUAAUAAAAUGAAAAUUUGAAUUAAGCUCUAAAAUAUGUACAUAUCGCCCGUCGCUCUUUUAUGAAGAUAAGUCGUAACAAAGUUAAAGUACUGGAAAGUGCUUU
rnacentral:ncRNA from 1 species